CUCCGUGAAGCUGGAUUCGCUAGUAAUCGCGCAUCAGCCAUGGCGCGGUGAAUACGUUCCCGGGCCUUGUACACACCGCCCGUCAAGCCAUGGGAGCCGGGGGUGCUUGAAGUGCGUCGCCGCAAGGCGCGCCCUAGAGCAAAACCGGUGACUGGGGCUAAGUCGUAACAAGGUACC
rnacentral:rRNA from 1 species